UGUUGGCAUCACUUGGGUGCCAUGGGCAGAGCAUGGGAACAUGGGGCAAUGGGACUUCCCUUCCAUGUGCUUCCCUGCAUCCCUGCCGGGCACAGACCCCGCUUGUCCAGGCCCAUUCAGCUUGAGCUUUGCCACCACAGUGACAUAGGAUGGGUCUGGACCAUCUGAGAGCCCUGCUGGUGCUGGGACCCCAAGCACAGCCUGCGAUAGGAGGGACCAUGUUUAAAGGCACAAGGCAAUAGGAGAUCAAAUCCCUUCCAUCCAAUGGCUCCAUCCAAUGAGCCAGGAGCAGCCCAUUGAGGAAAGAACUGAAUGUCCCAGCCCCAUAGGGGCUUUUCCCCUCUCUUUAUCAGCCAGAGCAUCCCCAAGUGCUGUGAGAACUGAGCUGCUUCACUAUGGGGCUCAAUGGGGUCUGGCUGCAGCAGGGAUGCUGUGCACUGAGCUGCUUCACUAUGGGGCUCAAUGGGGUCUGGCUGCAGCAAGGGAUGCUGUGCACUGGGAUGCUGGUCCCCAACCAGGACCCUGCUCACCUUCCAGCUCCUCCUUCUCAUAGUGGAUGUUGACGACGUUGCUGGUCCUCCCCUGGUCGAUCACUGCCUCCUCGUCCUGCCUCUGCUCAGCAACAGAAGAGCCAUCACUGAACAAGCCUGGGUCAGGUUCAUCAUUGAGAGCAUCAACAGCAGGGCACAAGGAUGGACCAUUAUAGAGCCACAGCCUCCAUCCCAUUGGUGCUGCAGUGAACCCCCAGCAGGCAGAGCCAGUCCUUGCAUGGCACAGAAGGGCCAAGGGAAGCGACUGUUCCCCUCUCCUCACCAUUCCAGCCCCACUUCACUCCCCCAGCUGCACUAUCCCACUAUUCCCAUCCCACAGCCCCUUGGCUCCAGUGCUCAGCACAAGGGUUACCUGUGAAAGGUGACCCAGGGUGUUAAAUAGCACAGGGAGGGAAGGUGACACUGAGGCCUCAGCAGCUCAAAUCCCAUCCUGGUCCAGGCUCUGCUUCUCUAUCAUUAACACUAAAGCUUCAGGAGCAUCUGUGGGUAUCCCAUAGCCCUUCCCAGAACCAUCCCCACUGGCAGGGAGCUGCGACUGAAGGAAAUGCUCCCAUCCCACAUUCACUCCAAUGGGCUCAGAGGGGUUAAUGCCCUGAGGAAGUUGCUGGAGGAUCCAAAGGAUCUCACAGAGCUGCUGGGUUGGGAUGGGAUGGAGCAGGUUGG
rnacentral:lncRNA from 14 species